GGUUAUAGCUUAGUGGUAGAGAGCGUGCUUAGCAUGCACAAGGUCCUGGGUUCAAUUCCUGGUACCUCCA
rnacentral:tRNA from 1 species